rnacentral:rRNA from 1 species
AGCAGCCGCGGUAAUUCCAGCUCCAAUAGCGUAUAUUAAAGUUGUUGCAGUUAAAAAGCUCGUAGUUGAAUUUCGGGGUUAGUAGAUUGGUCAUGCCUCUGGUAUGUACUGGUCUCACUGAUUCCUCCUUCCUGAUGAUCCGUAAUGCCAUUAAUUUGGUGUUGCGGGGAAUUUGGACUGUUACUUUGAAAAAAUUAGAGUGCUUAAAGCAAGCUAACGCUUGAAUACAUUAGCAUGGAAUAAUGAAAUAGGACGUUCGAUCCUAUUUUGUUGGUUUCUAGGAUUGACGUAAUGAUUAAUAGGGAUAGUUGGGGGCAUUAGUAUUCAAUUGUCAGAGGUGAAAUUCUUGGAUUUAUUGAAGACUAACUACUGCGAAAGCAUUUGCCAAGGAUGUUUUCAUUAAUCAAGAACGAAAGUUAGGGGAUCGAAGACGAUCAGAUACCGUCGUAGUCUUAACCAUAAACUAUGCCGACUAGGGAUCGGAGGAUGUUAAUUUUUUAAUGACUCA